UGCGGUAAUUUGACCGUGCAAAGGUAGCAUAAUCAGUAGUCUUUUAAUUGAAGGCUGGAAUGAACGGCUGGAUGAGGGAAAAGCUGUCUUUUUUACAAAUUAGAAUUUGACCUCUAAGUGAAAAGGCUUAGAUGCAGUAGUGGGACGAUAAGACCCUAUAAAACUUUAUAUGAAUUGAGAUUAUUUGUCAAAAUUUUAAUUAAAAUUUAAAAGAUCUUAUUUAUAUUUUGUUGGGGAGACAUUGAUAUAACUUGUAACUGUCUAGUUGAAAAAUAUAGUUAUUGCUAGAAUUUGAUCCCUCUAUGAGGAUAAAAAGAAUAAGUUACUUUAGGGAUAACAGCGUGAUUUUUUCUGAGAGUUCUUAUCGAAGAAAUUAGUUGCGACCUCGAUGUUGAAUUAA
rnacentral:rRNA from 1 species